UCUUUGAUUGUGGUUAGCACCUCCACACUUUUUGCAAACAAUUUUUCUCUACUUGCUUUGUUCUAUCCCAAUCUCUUUCCCGCUCUUGAUUCUAUUAUCAUGAUGGCAUCUCUUGUAGCUUCCAACUAGUGGGUUUUUGAAUCUGAUUAGAGUCUGGCUUCGGAUACCCUAUCAUUGAUGAUAUGACAUCAUAUUUCUUCUUUAACGGUGUGUUUGAGUUAUCAGCUUCUACCUCAAGCUUCAAUGCCUUGAGCUUGUUAACAAACUCCUCAAGCUUUUUCUCAUCCGACCCAAUUCGUUGUAAAGAAUCAUCUAUAACUGAACUUGCUUCAUUUAUCAAGUUUUGAACAGACUCAAACCCGCUCAUGAAGUUUACUAAAUUUGAUCCUGACUUUGUGAAAUGAGAAAAGAAUGCGAUCCCGCUCUCGGAUCUUGAAGUUGUUCUCAUCAACCCAAACAUUUAUGUGUCAAUAAAGUAUGCAGGUACUCGGGCAUUGAAGAAGUAACGAGUUAAGUUGCGUUAUUAUUCUCUUUGAGGUUAGAUAGCAGUGAAACAAGUAGCAAGUGAGAGAUGGGGUAGCUAUAGUGAUGAUAGAAGAUGGCAUUUUAGUUUUCCCUAUUUAGUAUUACUUAUGCAGACUGAUUUAUUAUGUCGUUUGACACUUCGUAUUGUUGUUUAUGGAUUUCUUGAAUUGUCGUUGUGAUGCAAUAAGUAACACCAAAACUAUGAUUGAGAAAA